rnacentral:snRNA from 1 species
AAGUGUUACAGCUCUUUUACUAUUUGUAUAGUAGGUUGUUACUUAGAAGGACCCAC